UUGAAUCUGCUUUCAAUGAUUUCAAUGAUUAAAUAAUUGGUCUGUGACAUCUUCGAUGAUAUUGGAAAUUACUCUGAAGAAGUUACCUCGGUCUCAAAUACGUGAGUGAUGGAAGGAGAUUACACCAGACGGAAAAUGAAUUCCUGGACUUUAUUAUUUGCGAUAUUUUUUUAUUUCCGCUGCGGCCAAUGUGAUAUCAUUUUAACCGAUGACCAUGAGCUAAAUUUAAAGUUGAAUGAAGUUAGUAAAUUUUCCAUAAACGCAAG